rnacentral:rRNA from 1 species
UACGAAGGGGGCUAGCGUUGCUCGGAAUCACUGGGCGUAAAGCGCACGUAGGCGGACUCUUAAGUCGGUGGUGAAAUCCUGGAGCUCAACUCCAGAACUGCCUUCGAUACUGGCGAUCUAGAGUCCGGGAGAGGUGAGUGGAACUGCGAGUGUAGAGGUGAAAUUCGUAGAUAUUCGCAAGAACACCAGUGGCGAAGGCGGCUCACUGGUCCGGUACUGACGCUGAGGUGCGAAAGCGUGGGGAGCAAACAGG